UACGUAGGGAGCAAGCGUUGUCCGGAAUCAUUGGGCGUAAAGCGCGCGUAGGCGGCCCUGUAAGUCCGCUGUGAAAGUCAAAGGCUCAACCUUUGAAAGCCGGUGGAUACUGCAGGGCUAGAGUCCGGAAGAGGCGAGUGGAAUUCCUGGUGUAGCGGUGGAAUGCGCAGAUAUCAGGAGGAACACCAAUAGCGAAGGCAGCUCGCUGGGACGAUACUGACGCUAAGGCGCAAAAGCGUGGGGAGCGAACAGG
rnacentral:rRNA from 1 species